UUUAUACUCCCUCCAUUCUGAAUUACUUGUCGAAGAAAUGGAUGUAUCUAGACAUAUUUUAGUUCUAGAUACAUCCAUUUUCGAGACAAGUAAUUCCGAACGGAGGGAGUAGUAA
rnacentral:pre_miRNA from 1 species